UCCGCUGAGGAUGGCUUUUUCUCGGUGUAACUAGCCGAGGGAAUAAGGAGAGGGCAAGACUGGUGUCAGCCGCCGCGGUAAUACCAGCUCUCCGAGUGGUAGGGAUGAUUAUUGGGCUUAAAGCGUCCGUAGCCGGCUUAGCAAGUUUCCUGUUAAACUCAGCGACCUAAUCGUUGAAUCGCGGGAAAUACUACUAGGCUAGGAGGCGGGAGAGGUCGACGGUACUUCCGGGGUAGGGGUGAAAUCCUAUAAUCCCGGGAGGACCACCAGUGGCGAAGGCUGUCGA
rnacentral:rRNA from 1 species